UUACUGGGCGUAAAGCGCACGCAGGCGGUCUGUUAAGCUAGAUGUGAAAGCCCCGCGCUCAACGUGGGAGGGUCAUUUAGAACUGGCAGACUAGAGUCUUGGAGAGGGGAGUGGAAUUCCAGGUGUAGCGGUGAAAUGCGUAGAGAUCUGGAGGAACAUCAAUGGCGAAGGCAACUCCCUGGCCAAAGACUGACGCUCAUGUGCGAAAGUGUGGGUAGCGAACAGGAUUAGAUACCCUGGUAGUCCACACCGUAAACGCUGUCUACUAGCUGUUUGUGGAUUUAAUCCGUGAGUAGCGAAGCUAACGCGAUAAGUAGACCGCCUGGGGAGUACGGCCGCAAGGUUAAAACUCAAAGGAAUUGACGGGGGCCCGCACAAGCGGUGGAUUAUGUGGAUUAAUUCGAUGCAACGCGAAAAACCUUACCUGGCCUUGACAUGUACCGAAUUUAGCAGAGAUGCUUUAGUGCUCGUAAGAGAACGGUAACACAGGUGCUGCAUGGCU
rnacentral:rRNA from 1 species